rnacentral:rRNA from 1 species
AGUGAGGAAUAUUGAGCAAUGGGCGAAAGCCUGACUCAGCAACGCCGCGUGGAUGAAGAAGGCCUUCGGGUUGUAAAAUCCUUUUCUGGGGGACGAUGAUGACGGUACCCCAGGAAUCAGUCCCGGCUAACUACGUGCCAGCAGCCGCGGUAAAACGUAGGGGGCGAGCGUUAUCCGAAUUUAUUGGGCGUAAAGCGCGCGUAGGCGGCUCUAAAAGUUGGACGUGAAAGCUCCUGGCUUAACUGGGAGAGGUCGUUCAAGACUGUAGGGCUAGAGGAUGGAAGAGGAGAGCGGAAUUCCCGGUGUAGUGGUGGAAUGCGUAGAUAUCGGGAGGAACACCAGUGGCGAAAGCGGCUCUCUGGUUCACACCUGACGCUGAGGUGCGAAAGCGUGGGGAGCGAACGGGAUUAGAUACCCCGGUAGUCCACGCUGUAAACGAUGGAUACUAGGUGUAGAGGGUCAUUUACCCCCUCUGUGCCGAAGCUAACGCGUUAAGUAUCCCGCCUGGGGACUACGGCCGC